UCCGGCUUGUCACCGGCAGUUCCUUCAGAGUGCCCACCCAAUCGUGCUGGCAACUGAAGGCGAGGGUUGCGCUCGUUGCGGGACUUAACCCAACAUCUCACGACACGAGCUGACGACAGCCAUGCAGCACCUGUGCGAGGAGCCCUCGCGGGAACGCACAUCUCUGUACGCGUCUCCUCCAUGUCAAGUCCUGGUAAGGUUCUGCGCGUUGCGUCGAAUUGAACCACAUGCUCCACCGCUUGUGCGGGCCCCCGUCAAUUCCUUUGAGUUUCAGUCUUGCGACCGUACUCCCCAGGCGGAAUGCUUAAAGCGUUAGCGACGGCACCCGGGGACUAUAAACCCCAGACACCAAGCAUUCAUCGUUUAAGGCUAGGACUA
rnacentral:misc_RNA from 1 species